GGAGAGGUGGCCGAAUGGUUAAGGCAAGGUCCUGCUAAGACCUGUCCGCCUAAAAGCGGACUUGUGGGUUCGAGUCCCACCCUCUCCG
rnacentral:tRNA from 1 species